AUUGAACGCUGGCGGCAGGCUUAACACAUGCAAGUCGAGCGGAGUGAUGGUGCUUGCACUAUCACUUAGCGGCGGACGGGUGAGUAAUGCUUAGGAAUCUGCCUAUUAGUGGGGGACAACAUCUCGAAAGGGAUGCUAAUACCGCAUACGUCCUACGGGAGAAAGCAGGGGAUCACUUGUGACCUUGCGCUAAUAGAUGAGCCUAAGUCGGAUUAGCUAGUUGGUGGGGUAAAGGCCUACCAAGGCGACGAUCUGUAGCGGGUCUGAGAGGAUGAUCCGCCACACUGGGACUGAGACACGGCCCAGACUCCUACGGGAGGCAGCAGUGGGGAAUAUUGGACAAUGGGGGCAACCCUGAUCCAGCAAUGCCACGUGUGCGAAGAAGGCCUUCGGGUUGUAAAGCACUUUAGUAGGGGAGCAAGGUUACGGCGCUAAUAUCGCCGUGAUUUGAGAAUACCCUAAGAAUAAGCACCGGCAAACUCUGUGCCAGCCGCCGCCGUAA
rnacentral:rRNA from 1 species